AACGCACCUUGCGCUCCUUGGUAUUCCGAGGAGCAUGCCUGUUUGAGUGUCAUGGAAUCAUCAACUCUCUUCCUUCUUUGCUGAAGGGAUUGAGCUUGGACUUGGAGGUGUAUGCUGGCCUUUUUUGGGUCAGCUCCUCUUGAAUGCAUUAGCUUGAACCUUUGCUGUAUCGGCUGUUCGGUGUGAUAAUUGUCUACGCCGUCACCGUGAAGCAUUACACUUCUUGUGUGGGGCUCAGCUUAUAACCGUCCUGUAGAAGGGACAACAUCAUAUUGACCUCUGACCUCAAAUCAGGUAGGAUUACCCGCUGAACUUAA
rnacentral:rRNA from 1 species